rnacentral:rRNA from 1 species
AUUGAACGCUAGCGGGAUGCUUUACACAUGCAAGUCGAACGGCAGCGCGGACUUCGGUCUGGCGGCGAGUGGCGAACGGGUGAGUAAUGUAUCGGAACGUGCCCAGUAGCGGGGGAUAACUACGCGAAAGCGUAGCUAAUACCGCAUACGCCCUACGGGGGAAAGCAGGGGAUCGUAAGACCUUGCUCUAUUGGAGCGGCCGAUAUCGGAUUAGCUAGUUGGUGAGGUAACGGCUCACCAAGGCGACGAUCCGUAGCUGGUUUGAGAGGACGACCAGCCACACUGGGACUGAGACACGGCCCAGACUCCUACGGGAGGCAGCAGUGGGGAAUUUUGGACAAUGGGGGCAACCCUGAUCCAGCCAUCCCGCGUGUGCGAUGAAGGCCUUCGGGUUGUAAAGCACUUUUGGCAGGAAAGAAACGUCGCGGGCUAAUACCCCGUGGAACUGACGGUACCUGCAGAAUAAGCACCGGCUAACUACGUG